rnacentral:rRNA from 1 species
AACGAACGCUGGCGGCAUGCCUAACACAUGCAAGUCGAACGAGACCUUCGGGUCUAGUGGCGCACGGGUGCGUAACGCGUGGGAACCUGCCCUUAGGUUCGGAAUAACUCCCCGAAAGGGGUGCCAAUACCGGAUAAUGUCUUCGGACCAAAGAUUUAUCGCCUUUGGAUGGGCCCGCGUUGGAUUAGCUAGUUGGUAGGGUAAAAGCCGACCAAGGCGACGAUCCAUAGCUGGUCUGAGAGGAUGAUCAGCCACACUGGGACUGAGACACGGCCCAGACUCCUACGGGAGGCAGCAGUGGGGAAUAUUGGACAAUGGGCGAAAGCCUGAUCCAGCAAUGCCGCGUGAGUGAUGAAGGCCUUAGGGUUGUAAAGCUCUUUUACCCGGGAUGAUAAUGACAGUACCGGGAGAAUAAGCUCCGGCUAACUCCGUG